UCCCCGUUUUCCGGGACAGUCCCUGUAGAGUUCCCGGCAUGACCCGCUGGCAACUACAGGCAAGGGUUGCGCUCGUUGCGGGACUUAACCCAACAUCUCACGACACGAGCUGACGACAGCCAUGCAGCACCUGUGUGCCGGUUCUCUUGCGAGCACUCCCUGAUCUCUCAAGGAUUCCGGCCAUGUCAAGGGUAGGUAAGGUUUUUCGCGUUGCAUCGAAUUAAUCCACAUAAUCCACCGCUUGUGCGGGUCCCCGUCAAUUCCUUUGAGUUUUAACCUUGCGGCCGUACUCCCCAGGCGGUCGACUUCACGCGUUAGCUUCGUUACUGAGAGUGUCAAACCCCCAACAACCAGUCGACAUCGUUUAGGGCGUGGACUAC
rnacentral:misc_RNA from 1 species